CCUACGGGUGGCAGCAGUGAGGAAUAUUGGUCAAUGGACGAGAUCCUGAACCAGCCAUGUAGCGUGCAGGAUGACUGCCCUAUGAGUUGUAAACUUCUUUUAUAUGGGGGUAAAAUGCUCCACGUGUAGGAUUUUGUAUGUACCAUAUGAAUAAGGAUCGGCUAACUCCGUGCCAGCAGCCGCGGUAAUACGGAGGAUCCGAGCGUUAUCCGGAUUUAUUGGGUUUAAAGGGAGCGUAGGUGGUUUGUUAAGUCAGUUGUGAAAGUUUGCGGCUCAACCGUAGAAUUGCAGUUGAAACUGGCAGUCUAGAGAACGGUAGAGGUGGGCGGAAUGUGUGGUGUAGCGGUGAAAUGCUUAGAUAUCACGAAGAACUCCGAUUGCGAAGGCAGUUCACUGGACUGCAACUGACACUGAGGCUCGAAAGUGUGGGUAUCAAACAGGAUUAGAUACCCUUGUAGUC
rnacentral:rRNA from 1 species